rnacentral:rRNA from 1 species
UACGUAGGGUGCGAGCGUUGUCCGGAAUUACUGGGCGUAAAGAGCUCGUAGGCGGUCUGUCGCGUCGAUCGUGAAAACUUGGGGCUUACCCCUGAGCUUGCGGUCGAUACGGGCAUGACUGGAGUUCGGCAGGGGAGACUGGAAUUCCUGGUGUAGCGGUGAAAUGCGCAGAUAUCAGGAGGAACACCGGUGGCGAAGGCGGGCCUCUGGGCCGAUACUGACGCUGAGGAGCGAAAGCGUGGGGAGCGAACAGG